rnacentral:rRNA from 1 species
AGAAAUGACUCUCGGCAACGGAUAUCUCGGCUCUUGCAUCGAUGAAGAACGUAGCGAAAUGCGAUACUUGGUGUGAAUUGCAGAAUCCCGUGAACCAUCGAGUCUUUGAACGCAAGUUGCGCCCAAAGCCAUUUGGUUGAGGGCACGCCUGCCUGGGUGUCGUG